UACGGAGGAUGCGAGCGUUAUCCGGAUUUAUUGGGUCUAAAGGGUGCGUAGGCGGAUCGUUAAGUCAGUGGUCAAAUUGAGGGGCUCAACCCCUUCCCGCCAUUGAAACUGGCGAUCUUGAGUGGAAGAGAAGUAUGCGGAAUGCGUGGUGUAGCGGUGAAAUGCAUAGAUAUCACGCAGAACCCCGAUUGCGAAGGCAGCAUGCCGGCUUCCGACUGACGCUGAAGCACGAAAGCGUGGGGAUCGAACAGG
rnacentral:rRNA from 1 species